ACUGACCCACUGGGUUAGGACAGUUUGUUUUUCUGCAAACACAGCUGAUUUUCGACGGUCUAUUCGAUCAUUCGUUCAGCGAUUUGUUUGGAGGUUGCAUGUAGAUUUAGCCGGGGGUUUUGGAGGGAAAUUUUGGGAUGUAAAAACGGAUUAUUAAAGAGUUUAAUAAAAGUGGUUAAAAAUAAGAGAAAGGAAUGGCUCAACAAGUUUUAAAAUCCGUAGACGUGAAUACAGAUGAGGCUCCUGCAAGCAAACGUGCUAGACUUGAUGAUGGUGAGGGCAAGGGAGGCUCUUGGGCUCCCUGGAUCUUAACCAAAGGGGAAGUUAUCCUUCACGACGAGCAUGAUCGUGGAAUCGGCAGACUAGAUUGUGUACCUGACAAUUUGGCACUUGAUGAAGACACCAUUUUCAACAAAAAUGUUGAUGUUGAUGUUUCUUGUGUUUCUAUGACUCCUAUUUCAAGAGACAAGCAGCUCUCUAUAUUAGAAUCAGCGCUUACCAAAGAAUCUUUAGAUAAAUUAACAGUUGGAGAGUGGAGUAAUUUAAUGACCAGCAAACCAAUUAUAAAACCAGAAGACAAGAUGAAUUACUUUGACCUUCUAUCUGAUGAGGUGGUUCUUCAGAUCUUCCGUUGGAUACCGAAAAGCAACUUGCGUGACAUCGCACUCACUUGCUCUAGAUUCCAUCGAUUGAGCAAUGAUGAGACUCUCUGGACUCGCAUGGAUGUUUCGAACAAACAUUUGGAUGAAGGUGACUUGGGAUUGAUUUUGAGUAGGCAAGUGAUUGUUUUGCGCCUGGCCAAGUCCACUAUCCUUGACAAUCCCAUCUUGGGCAACUGUAAAGCUGCAAGCGAAGACUUUCAAUGCAGACUGAUGUACUUGGAUCUGAGCAUGUCGACCAUUUCCUGUGAGAGUUUGAUUGUGGUGUUCAACAAGUGCCGCAAAUUAAAAAAGAUCAGUUUGGAGAAUAUCAGAUUGAACGAUGAGGUGCUACUUGCCCUGUCAGCUAACACUUGCCUUGAAGUUGUCAAUUUGGCCAUGGCCUCGGGGAUCAAAGAGGACGGAUUGAAAUAUUUGCUCACCAAUUGCAAAUUGAUAAGGGAGCUGAAUGUGGCUUGGACUUACCUUAAUUCCAACUGCAUUGAGUACUUGUGCAAGAACUUGCCGAUAACAAUGGAUAGACUCAAUGUUGCAGGAUGCAGAAAAUUGCUUUUAGACAGAAAUGUGCAAUCAUUGGUGGCAUGCUGCCCAAAUUUAAGAGAGCUUGAUUUGUCUGACUGUACAGUAAUUACUGAACGGUCCAUACAGCACAUAACAACUUUAAAGCAUUUGACUUUCAUUGCACUCUCUCGUUGCUACAUGGUAUCGCACGAGUCGCUUGCAGAGUUAAUAGACAAUCCUGCUGUGCACAUUAAAGGUUUCCCAUACCCCAUCCUACUUCCUAUUGUUAUGUGACAAUUGUGUGUCCUCAUAGAUGCGCUGUUGUCAAAGACCCGUCAAAUUCAAGUUAUUUUUUUCACUCCAUGUGUGUUUUUAAAUUAGUCUAUUGUAAACUGCCUACUUUUGAGUUUUAACGAUUUUUGUAGAACCCUCCGCUGCUUAAAAAAUCUCGCUUACUUGGAUAUCCACGGUGGUUAUUUAGACCGCAUUCAGCUCAACGAGGUCCAAACCAGUUUGGGAGCAAGGGUUCAGCUGAAC
rnacentral:misc_RNA from 1 species